GUUCCAUAUUGAGCAGUAGGGAGUUCUAGGUCUUUCUCUCCUUUGCUGUUACUCUCCCAGUCUGCAGUCUGAAGCCUUAGUUUGUAGUUCCUCCUCUGUGUGGGGUUUGUCCUGGAAAGAAGCCCUCACUGUUGCUCUGCCCAUUUUCCUAGAAGGAAGAUUCAAAGUCUAUGGUGCCAUUGGCGCCACUGUCCUAUUUUUAUUUUGAAGACCCUGCUGGUGUGUAGAUCUCAGAAGUACAGGCAUUCUUGUGGAUUCUCUGCUGCUUAAGUUUCAGCACAAAAAGUCACAUGUUACGAAGUGCUAAGUACGUGGGAGGCACCAAAAAUAUGUGUUAAAUGAAUGAAGGUUCUUAACCACAUACAGUCAACGUUAGACAUCUGAGCAGAUUCUAAUAGUGUAGCAGACACUCUGGCACACUGAGCAAAAUUGGCAGAAAUAGAUCUCUUGUGCAAUGAUAAUUCAAUGGCCAGAUCCACGUGGCAAGACAAGGGGAUGGACUCCAGCUAGCUCUGUGCUGCCAUUGGGCCUCCUCUAUGCAGGUCAAUGUACAGAAGAGCAACAAUCCUCAUAAAGCUGAUUAACGGACCCCCAGCAAUGGGGAGGAGGCAAUGAAUUUAGAACUUAGCCCUGGAAGAAAGUGAAAGAGACCCAAAGAAUGCACAGGGAAGUCGGGAGGCAGCAAAGUCUCCACCUCCACUGCCGGGGAGCCAGGACCCUCUUUGAGCUGGUGUCUGGAGGACCCUCUGCUGCCCUGGCCCAGUGCUUGCCUUUAUUUGCCCCUCUGCCUUAGGCCCUGGCUCAUCAGUAGGAAAUCUCAGUGCUACCUGCUUUCCAUCUGGUGUCCUUCCUUCAAGCACAGACACAGGCAGCUUCUGCUCAGCAGACCCCAGACCUAAGUCUUAGCAGGGAAAAGCCUCUUGGUGCCUCUCCUAGCUCCAUGCCCUUUUCCUCUCAUCUAUUUCAAAAAGUCGGGAUUGGGGAAGCAGUGAAGGAAUCAGCUGCUUCUACUCUCAAGAAGAAAAUAGCCUCACCCCAUCUCCUGCAAAAGGAGUACUAUCCAGCCUGUAAUAUUCAGGGUCCUCCGGAGAGUCAGAGCUGAUAGGACAUAUACACAGAGAGAGAGAGAGAGAGAUGAGAGGAGACUUACAAGCUGAAUUAGCUUAUGAAAUUAUGGAGGCUGAUGAGCCCCACAACUGGCCGUCUGUGAGCUGGAGAACCAGGGAAGCCAGUUGCAUGGCUCAGUCCAAGUACAAAGGCCAGAGACCCAGGGAUGCCAAUAGGGUAACUCUCAGUCCAGGGCCAAAGUGCUGAGAACCCAGGGGCCACUGGUAGAAGUCCCCAAAUCCAAAGGCCAGAGAAUCUGGAAGUGGGAUGUUCAAGGGCAGGCAAAGAAAGGUGUCCCAUCUCCAGACGAGAGAGAGAGUAAAUUCUCAUGUCCUCUGCCUUUUUGUUCCAUCUCAGCCCUCAGCUGAUUGGAUGGUGUUUGUCUAUAUUGGGUGAGGGUGAAUCUUCCUUACUUGGGCCACUGAUUCAAAUGCCAGUCUCUUCCAAAAACACCCUCAUAGACAUACCCAGAAAUAAGGUCUUGCCAGCUAUCUGGCUGUCCCUUAAUCCAGGCAAGUUGAUACCUAAAAUGAACCAUCACACAGCCCAAAGAGCAGACCAUGAAGAGGUGAGAGCCCCACCCUCACUCUGAGCUUCACCAGCAUGGCAUACACACUGCAUCCCAAGGGUCAUGAGACAUUCUGCUGGACACAGACCCAUAGGAGACUUGUGGAGUUUGGGGAUGAGAGUUGUUCCAGGGCCCUCCUUCAGCCUCAUCCCGACCCAAAAGUGGCCAUUCAACACUCCCCGAGGGACUUCUGUGUGGGCCAGGAGCAUUUUGCCACCUUCAGAAGCAUGAAUCAAGCCUUGCAGGCAAAACACUCGUGGAGACAGGAGGUCCAGGGCUUUUUGACAGCCCCACGAUGUGGUUAGCGCCUCAGGCUCCUUCUGCCUUUCUGUUCUACCAUUCUUAGUGCAUGUGUCUGUCCUCAAGGGAAACUCAGGGCUGCAAGAUGGCUGCUGCCGCUACAGUCAUCAUGCCCACCUUCCUGUCUUGAAGAAGAAAAGAAAGGAAGAGCUUGCCAGAGGAGUCAGACCCUUUUAAAAAGAUUUCCUGAAGCCCCCCCAACAAUAACUUCCUCUUACAUCUCAGGAGCUGCCGCAACUGCAAAGAAGGCUAGGAAAUGAACCGGGAGUAUCGCCAUCCUCAACAACAUAGGGAUUUUGUUGGCAAAGAAUUAUCUCAUGGCACCUAAGCCUUACUGAGCACUUAGCUGACGUUGGAUACUCUAAGCACCCCAUAUGCGUGACCUCAUGGAACCCUCACAACAAUGCCAUGAUGUGGGAACUAUGAUUACCCUAUUUUUCAUAACAGGAAGCCGAGCCAUAAGGGUUUCAAUCAUGUUUCUAAAUGACAGAGCCAGGAUUUGGCUCUGAGCAUGAGUUUUUCCCACACUCGGGCUAUCUUCCACUUGAGCCCCAUGCCCUCAGCCAUCAGCUGACUGCUUAAAUUCAGGUCCCCUGAACUGCCCCCAUGGUCCCCAGCCCCCAACCUUGUCACUGUGGUGAAAGAGCUUGGUCUUUCAGCUCGGAGGUCCCCAUUCAGAACCGUCCUUUGAGACCUGGGUGAUUCCCCACCUCUGAGGCUCACCACCACCAGUGGUGCCUGGCACUUGUGAAUUCCUGGUCCCCUAACCUGUCCCCUCCUAUCUCUCUUCCAUAUGUCCCUGUCCCUCUUUCUAUUAUUCUGUUUUUCUCUUCCUCCCUCUCUUCUUUUCUUUCACAACAUCCCUUUAUCCUUUCUUUAAAAUAAAAGAAACACAGUCUUCCGGCCAGGGCUUAGUUCUUAUACUCUCACUUUCCUUCUGCCCCUCCCCUUCGCCACCCUUCUCCUUCUCUGGCCUCCCAUUCCCCACACGGAGGCACCUCCCCCAACCCCCACUGACACACAGCCACCCCCGUGAGCACACGCUGUGGAGCAGGCCCAGAGGAAACCGCCAAGCCAGGGACAUAAACAUAAUGGAGCUGGCACGGGCCCCUCUCCAGGGCUCGGCUUGGGAGUCACUCACUGUCACUAACAGGCCUACGUCCCCAACUGCCUUCAUGAUGCUUGGGAGGAGAGAGCCCAGAGUGAAGGGGACUUUUACUAUCCUCAGAGGGAGCUUUGUUCCUGCUACAAUCUUUUCUGCUCUGCUCUAGGCCGGCCAGCAGCUUGAAAGAGGUUUUGGUUUAAAUGGGUCUCUCUCCUUCACUCAGCAAACAUCAAUUAAUUAACCAGAAUAGUCAACAGUACCAAUAAAGAGCUUGCAGGACUGGCCUGUGGGGUGGAGGUGGCAUCUUAGAAAACCAUGCAGGGCAGCCCAUUCUGCAAUGGAUGGGCUGAAGCCCCAGGGCUUGGUUUCCUGUCUCCCUCCCAACCCCCUCCUCUGCCUCUGACCCUUAGGCUGUGACUUUGGUGUAAAAGGAACUUGCUCUGUUACCAAACACAUUUAUGUAGC
rnacentral:lncRNA from 1 species